rnacentral:rRNA from 1 species
UACGUAGGGGGCUAGCGUUGUCCGGAAUCAUUGGGCGUAAAGCGCGUGUAGGCGGUCCGGUAAGUCCGCUGUGAAAGUCGGGGGCUCAACCCUCGGAUGCCGGUGGAUACUGUCGGGCUUGAGUACGGAAGAGGCGAGUGGAAUUCCUGGUGUAGCGGUGAAAUGCGCAGAUAUCAGGAGGAACACCAAUUGCGAAGGCAGCUCGCUGGGACGUUACUGACGCUGAGACGCGAAACGUGGGGAGCGAACAGG